rnacentral:tRNA from 1 species
GGGGCUGUAGUGUAGCUUGGUUAUCACUCGAGGCUGGGGGUCUCGCAACCGGAGUUCAAAUCUUCGCAGCCCCA